UGCAGGUGGAUGAUCAGAAAGGGGCGGAGCAUGGAGACUGUACCCCGCCCAGUGAAUUUUCUGCGUCAUAAAUACGAACUUUAAAAAAAAAAAAACACUGGUUUAAUCGCCAUUUUCUUUCAGUUUACUCAUUUGUGUGUUUUUUUUCUUUGUGGGUCCCAGGCUUAGACGCAAUCUCGUCGGAGAUCAGAUCAUCUGCCUCAAAGAAUACUUCUUCUAAAACAGCUCAAGUGAAAAAACGCAAAGAUGAUGACUAUCAACCCAAACUUACACCCAAUCCAGAAAGUGAUGAAGAUUUCAGUGAGCCAUCUGAGAGUGAGGAUGAAGAAUUCACAGUCAAGAAACCCACAAAGACUAAAAAGGACAAAGUCUCCACCAAAGACAGAAUGAAACCAGACCCCACUUCUGAAAAAGACAAACAACCGUCGAAACCAUCGAAGACGAAGCCUGAAGCAGCAGGAGGUUUCAACAGCUGACGUUUUCCAUCCUCUUGACUUUUGUUACUAAGAUUUAAAGAAAUAUUUUAGCUGCUUCCAAACCGGUAAAAAGCCUUCCAACAUUCAAACCGACACCCACCAGAUCCCCUUCCACGAAGCCUUCAUCCUCUUUGAGCCCAGCAGCGGGGAGAGUACCCAAGUGGAACCCACCAGCUCAGAUUGGUAAAAGCGCCUCAUCGUCACACAGUCCACCGGUGAAGUCACCCAGCCAGGGGCUGCGACUUGGACUGUCCCGCCUAGUCCCAGUCAACCGCUCCAUCCCAGCGUUGCAAGUCACUAACCCAGGGGUCGGCAACCCAAAAUGUUGAAAGAGCCAAAUUGGACGAAAAAACAAACAAAAAACAAACAUGUCUGGAGCCACAAA